GACGAACGCUGGCGGCGUGCUUAACACAUGCAAGUCGAACGGUGAAGCGCCUUCCUUUUUGGUGGGUGUGGAUGAGUGGCGAACGGGUGAGUAACACGUGAGUAACCUGCCCCCCUCUUCUGGAUAACCGCAUGAAAGUGUGGCUAAUACGGGAUAUUCUGGGUCUGUCGCAUGAUGGGUCUGGGAAAGAUAUUGUUUCGGUGGGGGAUGGGCUCGCGGCCUAUCAGCUUGUUGGUGGGGUGAUGGCCUACCAAGGCGGUGACGGGUAGCCGGCCUGAGAGGGUGGGCGGUCACACUGGGACUGAGACACGGCCCAGACUCCUACGGGAGGCAGCAGUGGGGAAUAUUGCACAAUGGGCGCAAGCCUGAUGCAGCGACGCCGCGUGAGGGAUGGAGGCCUUCGGGUUGUGAACCUCUUUCGCCAGUGAAGCAGGCCUGCCUCGUUUGUGGGUGGGUUGACGGUAGCUGGAUAAGAAGCGCCGGCUAACUACGUG
rnacentral:rRNA from 1 species